CUGUGUUUUUGGGAGAUGCCCCUUCGGUACAAGACCCGCUGGGAGAUGUACAGCACAAACCCUGUGCUGCAGACGUGUGCGGGGUUGAGACCCUGAAAUGUCCCAGCAGGACGUCCCCCUCGCUUCUGGCUCCUGGAACCAUCUCCUGAGGUCCUCUCCCCUCCCUGCCUCUGCCAUGCCCAGCUGCUGGCACAGCAGCAGUGGCAGCUGCUCCUGCUGGGUGCUGCUGGGCUGGAGACAUCUCGUCCCAGCCGUGGGCUCUGUGGGGCAGAGGCUGCUUUUCCCAGCUUGAAUAAAGAUGAGCAGUUUGGCAUUGCA